CGCCAGCAGCCGCGGUAAUACGUAGGGGGCGAGCGUUGUCCGGAUUUACUGGGCGUAAAGAGCGCGUAGGCGGCAUGUUAAGUUGGCUGUGAAAGGCCCUGGCUCAACUGGGGUAAGUCGGCCAAGACUGGCAAGCUUGAGAGCGGUAGAGGGAAGUGGAAUUCCGGGUGUAGUGGUGAAAUGCGUAGAUAUCCGGAGGAACACCGGUAGCGAAGGCGGCUUUCUGGGCCGUUUCUGACGCUGAGGCGCGAAAGCGUGGGUAGCGAACUGAAUUAGAUACUCAGGUAGUCCACGCCCUAAACGAUGGACGCUAGGUGUAGGGGGUAUCGACCCCUCCUGUGCCGAAGCAAACGCAUUAAGCGUCCCGCCUGGGGAGUACGGCCGCAAGGCUAAAACUUAAAGGAAUUGGCGGGGGAC
rnacentral:rRNA from 1 species